rnacentral:lncRNA from 1 species
UAAAGUGCAACGGGCCAACAACAUUUGACGCAUCUGCAAGUGUAUGUCUAGGAAGAGCUUGCUCUGCCAUCUCUUUUGUCCUUUGUGAGCAUGCCUCCGGUGAGGGUUGUAAUAGUCUUUCAGGAGAAGGGAAUAACUCUCUAGAUGGACGUCUGACUUUCUUCUCCCUCCUAUCACUCAAUCCUUCGAGAAGAGGUUGACUUUUCUUGCUUCUGGUUUGAACUGCUUCCUGCAUACACAAGAAACAAAAACCCUAAAAGCACUUUUUAUAAAAAUAAAAAUAAAAAAAAAUAAAACAAAAUUUAUACAAAGUCAAAUUUAAUCAAAUUUGCACUACUUGAAAAGUUAAACCACGAGUCCCUGGCAACGGCGUCAAAAAC